ensembl:lncRNA
CACCCAUUCUGGACAAGGUGGGACAGACACCAGGAGUAAGAGGUCCACCUCAAGCUGGCUGGGCUGUAGGCCCUGCAGGGCUCUGACAGAGCAGUCAAGAUGAUGUGGUUACAUUGAUGCCUUGUAAAGCAGCACUACAGAAGAAAUAGCCUGUGGAAGCAAUGCCAGCCACAUAGGCAACUGACACCAGCAAACUUAAGCAUUUCCAGUAAUUGAGCACCACCUUGUGGUCCAGAAGAAAAUCCAGGAAUGCACCGCAUCCAUCUUUGGAUCAUUGAGCAUAAUGAGCAGCCUUAAUGGCCAUCUGGCUUUUGUUGUCUCCUUUAGUCUGAGAGGAAAUGAGAUUUAUUACUGAAUAUGAACUGUCUCCUACCGUCUAAACUGCCUGGUGAGAAAAUGGAGGCAGGAAGAUGUCUGUCUUAGUCCAUUUGUGCUGCUGUGACACAAUACCACAGACUGGGUAAUUGACAAAGAACAAAGAUUUACUCUCACAGUUCUGGAGGAGGAGAAGUCCAAGAUUAAGGUGCCGGCAUCUGUGAGGAUGCUGCGCUCCUGCCCUGCGGAGGAUGCAGCAGAUAAGCACCAUCUUGGAGGAAGAGAAUGGCUGUACCAGACCAAACCUGCUGGUACCUUGACCUCAGACUUCCCAGCCUCCAGAACAAAUCUUCAAGCACCACAAUAUGGCAUGUCUUCCCUCUGCCACAAGAAGGGUGAUGUCCCUGAGAGCUGCUUCUUCAGUCUGGAAUGAAGAAGAUAUGAAACAAAGCCACAGCCUACCUUCCACUAACAUGUAACAUGAGCAAAGCAAACAACAUUAUUGCUGCAAGCCUCUGAGAUUUUUAACAAUAAUUGUAACACAACUGAUGAAAGUUCAUGGAUAUAGAUGCCUUCAAGGACUUUGACCUCAGCAACUAAAAGAAUGGAGUUUCCCUUGACUGCGAUGGGAAGCUCAAGGGGGAAGAAGGUUUCAAAGGGCUUAUUAAGAGUUCACUUUCAAUGAGAUGUGUCCAGGCAGGGACACAGAGGAGGCAAUUGGAUUUAAGAAUCGAACAUUAAGGGAAAGAGCUAGGCUGGAGAUAAAAUAAAAUUGGUGUUCAUCAGCAUACAGCUGGUAAUUUAUAGGGCCAGAGGAUUCAUUAAGAUCAUCAAGGGAGUGCCUAUCACUAUAGGAGAGGAAGACUCCAUGAGAGGUCAUUAGCGAUCUCAUCACGAACAUUUUCUCUCACAGUGAGUUUGAGAAGGAAUGUGGGGAAAGAAAUUGACUACAACCAGGACAGUUAAUUUCUUGAGAUUUGCUCUGAAGGAAGCCAAGAAAUGGGCCAUAACCCGGCAAUUUCCAAUAGGAUGAAAACAUCAGACCAGAUGCUCUUCUUGCACAGAUGAGCAUAUUCCUUUUCUUUCUCUUGGCCUGUUUCUCAGUUUUACCACACUGUGAAGUACCUAUGAUUACCUUCCAGGGUCUCUAACAGGUGAAGUGACUUAAUUAAUGUCACACACCUAGUACAUGGCACAGCCGAGAGUCAUUCCUUCAUCUCUCUUUUGACAAAGCCUGUGCUCUUUUCUCCUUUAUAAUUGUCUUCCAGAAAAGUUGCAAUAUUUUCUUUGAAGCAAAUUUCACAAAUGUUUCCUGCAUUACUUCUCAACUAGCAAAGUGUAGCUUGGGAUAAAAUUGACAUAAUCAGGUGACUUUUUGUUCCCUAGUGCUUACUAUUAAGCUAUGUUCUGCUGCUGUCAGUUUUAAAUUAAGAGUUCUCACUCGACCUAAAAUGUGGCUUAAACUCAACACUAGUUCAGUCUAGAAGGAAAGCUGCAAACUCACCAAAAUGUCAGGUGAACAUUUUAGUCCUUCUUUGGUUUUAAGUUCAAGCAACCAAUUACCAAACUAUAAUUACUUUAAAAUUUGGUAGAAAUUUUAUGAAUUCAUAAUGAUGAUUGGAUACAUGUGAUUGAAGGUUAAAAGUGGUGUUCUAGUGCAAAAGCCGUUUCUCCUACCUACUGGUUGGUUGAAUUUCAUCCACACAUAAUAAACAAAUGGAUCAUGUGGCAAUGACUAGGCUCUUAUAUUGAUUAGGCUUUUCUAGAGGAACAGAAUUGAUAGAAACACACACACACACACACACACACACUCACACACAUGAGCUUUAGCAUAUAUAGCAAGACAAUUUAUUAGGUAGGCUCACGGAAUUAGAGAUAGGAGAAUCCACAGUGAGUAUCUGCAUGCUGGAGAGUCAGAGGGAGCUGAUCGGUCCAAAAAGCUGGGAGCCAAAGAACAAAGAUGCAGCAGCAGUGUGAAACCAAAGGCCUAGAAGCUUCCUGGAAAGUUGCUAGUAUGAGUGAGUCUCCAUUGGAUGCCCGAAGAUAUAAAAGUCUGAUGCUUAUAGUCCAUGGCAGCAACAGACACACCCACUCAAGCAAAAUGGAGCUUGGAAAAUGCAGUCGACUUCCUCUCUUUUCCCUGUUUUAUUUCACCUGGACUCAAAGCCUAGUGGAUGGAGCCACACACAAUCAGCAUGGGUCUCCCCUCCGUGCUGACCCACCUGGCAGUCAUCUCUGGAAACUCCCCACCACCACACCAAGAAGUGUGCUCUACUAACCCACUAGGCAUUUCUUUUUAUUGGCAGUACUGGGAUUGGGUCUGGGGCCUUCACACUGAGCUACAUCCCCAGCUCCUCUUUGUUUAUUAUUAUUAUUAUUAUUAUUAUUAUUAUUAUUAAUACUUUGACACAGAGUCUUAUGAGUCACUAAGUUGCCCAUGCUAAGUUUGAGCUUUUGAUCCUUGUUCCUCAGUCUCCUAGGGUGCUGGGAUUACAGGUGUGCCCCACCAUUUCUUAAUCUGCUCAAGUUGAUAUAUCAUAAUAGUCACAGUUCUCAAAAUGUUA